UCGCAGUGCGCAGGGGGGAGGCGCGGAACGCGCGCAGGUCACCAUGACUAAGCAGAGCCGGGCGCCGGCCGUGUCAGAAUAAAAGUCCCCGCGGCCCCAGGCCUCCCGCGGCGGGGCCGCUCCCCCUCCCCCGCCCACGCUAGCUGUCGCCCUGUUGCGCAGCCCCAGCGCGGCGACCACAGCGCCGGUCAUUGCGGCGGGACCAAGGACCGCAGCGCAGCCAGCCGCGUGGUCGGAGCCGCGGAGAAUCAGAGCCCCAGUGCAGGCCUCACAUUAAGGCGGCCUCAGGAUCCAGCCAGAAUUGUCUGCCUACUUGGAUUUGCAUCGUCUUUAUUUUUUAUCUCCAGUCUGGAGGCGCGUGGAGCUCGCGGUCGGGCAUUCGAACAACGGCUCUGCCACUCUCUAUCUCUGUGCUGGUGGGCCCAUAAUUUAACCUCUCCAUGCUUCAGUUUCCUCCCUGUAAAAUGUUAAUACCUGCUAGGUUAUCGGGAGAACUAAAUGAGAACGCUAGGGCCUAAUAAAUAUGGAUUGUUAUUUUUCAUGGCAA